rnacentral:lncRNA from 1 species
CGAUGUAGUAGCAAAGAGAACUCGUCAAUGGCGGACUUCCACCACAAAUGGAGGGAUUUUGACUGUAUCUAUUGACAAUCCUGGAGCAGUGCAAUGCCCAGUAACUCAGAAACCACGAUUAACUCGUACUGCUGUACCUUCAUUUUUAACAAAGCGGGAGCAAAGUGACGUCAAGAAAGUUCCUAAAGGUGUUCCCCUGCAGUUUGACAUAAACAGUGUCGGAAAACAGACAGGGAUGACGUUGAAUGAGCGGUUUGGGAUCCUGAAGGAACAAAGAGCCACUCUCACAUACAACAAAGGGGGAAGCCGCUUUGUCACCGUGGGAUAGGUCCCAUGUCAAAGGAACUUUUGAGUGAUGACUCUGAGAAGUUGAAUUGCUUGAAGAGUUCAUCACGGAAAUUCAAGAAACUUUACUUCAAAAUAUUCACAAGGCUAAAUAACUCUUAUUUUUAUUUUUGAAGGUUUUUUUUUUUAAAAAAAAAAACGUAUAAAAUAAUGCCCUGAAAGAAUAAUAGGGAUUAUACCUGUCUGUUCUUAAAGAUUUCAUGGUUGGCUCAGACAGAACAAUCAUCUGUUUGACUUCUUUGGUUCCUCAUGCAGCAGAAGGAAGACAGAAAGAUAGAAAUUGAUUAUUUUUAUGAUAGCAGUAUUCAGGAUCUCAUCACCUUUGCCCGUGUUUUAGACUUUGUCAUGGUAAAUCCUGGUCUUCAUAAACAUGAGUAGGUCCCUUGGUUGCUGUCACUUGCCCUUUAAUAGUGUUGAUGUAGUCAGUGCCGUUGCCUUUUCUUCAUUAGAGACACAGAACAAUGUAUUAGAAUUUCCAGCUGUGGGUUUGAAGACUUAGGGGGACAUCCAGAACGUGCUUCCUCUUUCAGACGGUGUAAAGUCCCCUGGAAUUACACAGCUUUAGUGCUGAGCUUUUAACAGGAAAUGUGGCCCUAGGUAUUAGUCUUAGUUUAAAAUGUUGGUGUUUAGAGACUGUAAAUGCAUAUUCACAAAGUUAUCUGAUAGGGCCUUGGAGGAGAAGGUCCAGUUUUAAAAAAUGACAGUUUGUGUUUAAUAAAUGAAGGCAUGAGAGGAAGUAAGUAGCAAGUUGAAGGACAGGUAGUUGAGAUGAAACACUUCAAAACCCUGGUUAUAGAUGUACUGUUUGGAUGUAGCAUAGUCUUGAGUCUAGCGUCCACAAAGAAUUAUUCAAAUGAUAUUUAGAAGAAUUAUAACUAUUACAUUGAAUGGAGUCCCUUGGAUAUUUUGAUAGUAAAAUUAAUAGCCAUAAAGUCCUAGACUUCUUAUUUGAAGUUAAAAUUUCUUAUUUGAAAAGUUGAAAUUUAUGAGCUUUGAAGAUUGCUAAAUUAAAUAAUUUAUAGCUCCAAAAACAAAAAUAUACUUGUAUAUGUCACAGAGAAAAAAAAUGCAAAAUUUAUAAUAGAGUUACAUUAACCUUGUUGUUUACCUUUCACUGAUUUCUUAUAUGGUAUAAAUUAAAGUUCAGGCAUUUAUGGGGAGAAAAGGCCCUCCCCACCGACCCGCCACCUGCCACCUCUGACGGAGUGGGAGAAGUUAGUCUGUGCUAAGAUAGUACUGAGUCCCCAGAUGUUGUAUACUGUAAAUUACAGUAUAAUGCCAAAUGCAGCAAAAUCUUCCAGCUGUACGUUACAAGUUUGGUCAUUUUGAAGCUUGACAUUUUAGUUUGCCAUUAUGUUAAAAACAUCUAAAUAGGUGUUAGUUUCUCAGGAGUAGAUUGUUAGUGUUGACUUUUCCUGUAAAGCAGACAUCGUUCUUGGCCUGCCCUGCAUUGUAUACUAGAUUUCAUUGUUGUCUCUCAUGCUUCUUGAGUUGCUUCAUGGUUUAUGCUCGCCAUGGAAAGCUAUCAGUAACAGUUUCAUGCUUAUACCAAAGAAUUAAAUCUGAUCUUUAAUAUCUGAUAUUUUCCUGGUACUCGUACUGAUAAGGGAUUAUUGGAAGUCAGUCACAGAAUUUGGAAAUAAAUUCUAGUCUCUCCUUAGCUAUUUGAUGCUUUUCAUAUAGGCCAAGAACUCAUUGCAAAACAUUUUUGCAAGGAUGAAUGCCUGUAUUUGGUCUAGGAACAGUACAUUUUAGUCUGAUUUAGAAUUACUGGUAGCUUAUUUUAAAGCAAGGAAAAGCAGCUGAGCUCAAGUUUGCUGUCUUUAGAAUGGUUUGUGAAAAUAUGGUAUAAAGGUGUUUUCAUUUUCCUGUUCUUACCUAUUAUUGUAUAGAGCUAUUCAUGCCAUUUUUUGGGAAAACUUUAAAAAUUGCCCCAAAUACUGACAUUGAGUGCAUUAAAUAACAAAUUAUCUUUGAUACAUUAAACUUUUAUUCUUCAUGCAUCUGUAAUUUAAUUUUAAGUAUAAUGUUUUGCCUUUGGUACAACUAAAUUAAAACUCUUGGUGGUCACAUAUUGUAUAUAAACAAAACAAUAUGCUUUGUUGAAGGAAAAUUUUCUUUAUUGGAAUGUGGUUGUAAUCCUUGUUCAGUUCUUAAGUUUCGGUUUUUUUUAAAAACAGGAUGCAACUUAAACUUUUCUUUGCAUCAAGGUAUAUGCAAAACAUUGGUGCCGUGCAUCACCAAAUGAAAGUUUGUAUUUAACGAGGAGGUGCUUUACACUGUACUUUUUGGUGUUUUUUGGAAAAGUUACAUUUAGAUCUAUUCUGAAGCUGUUCAUUUUUAACAAAUAAAAUGUUACAGGUUUCACAUG